GUGGCCGAUGACCGCAGCCCCGUCGUCCCGCCCCGCUUGCCGUGGCCGAUGACCGCGCCACCAGGGACCGCGGCCACUCGAUGAGGAGGCCUGGACCUUAGCGCAGACCCGUGCCCCCGCGCGGCGGCGACAUAUCCCUCAUCGCGGAGCCAGCCCUCCCGCCGGUGCCACACCGCGCCGCGAUGCCGCUGGCUUGGAGGCCCGUGUUCAGGCAGCCGCUGCGGCGUCACCGGAUGCGGUGGCAGGCUCUCAGGGGACCGCUUGGCAGGGGGGCCGUCGCGGCUUCCGGUGGCGCCAAGCCGUAGAUCUGAGCCGCCGUUUACACUUCGGGAGAGUUUCACUUCAUGUAGCUACUACACCAGGAGAAUUGUAUGGUUGCGCCGAGGAAAAUGUUAUGCCGACUGUGGACAAGUGCCUUGAACUCACCUAUGCCCGGUAAUCUGGUGUGAUCUCAAGGUAAAAGGCAAAGCCUAAAGAACUGGAAACAUCAAAAUUGGUGCCCCAGUCAUCUCUACCCCUGGUGGUGCUCCUAGAUGUACAUCACUUCCUCGCCUCCUUGGCCGCUUCGGUGCCCGUGGCAUUCGUCCUCGUCGGUGGGACGGUGCAAGGCACAACUCCGAUGUGGCGGCAUGGAUGUGCAGUGUAGGAAGUGGUUCCUCACUGGAUGGACGGCGUUCAAGCGCAACCCCAACGCCCACUGAGUACUGGCUCGGCUACAACCUCCCUCGGUGAGCUCCAUCUUCCUCCUGCUCCUCUGCUUUGGCUACUGUAUGGGACAUGGCCAGGUCUAUGAUGAUCAGUUAUGGCUGAUAUAGGCAUGCUCUCGAGCAGUCGAGGCACAUGUGGGUAUUAAGUUGGACCCCCCCCCCCUCGAAAAAUCUCAUGCCUCGCCUAUAAUUCACGUGCCCCAUCGGUCGGAAGCCAUUCUUGCUAGGGCAAUGAUGAUUGCCGUGGCUGAAAUAAGUGUAUCUUUGAGCAAUUGAGGCACCUGUGGGUAUCAUGUUGGAUCCUCCCUCUUGUCUCUAGAAUCCUUUUUCAUCCUGCGAUGCUUAUUGUUCUACCCUUGGAUGGUCAUUCUUGUUGAGUGAUAACCAGGGCAGCUCAACUGUAUAAACAGAUUGAUCUGGUGAUAAGAGAUGAUGGGGUAGGUUAUAUGAUCGAGGAAAGGCGAAUCUGAGCCCACUAUGCAUUGAACCCUGAACUCUUUUUUGUAUUUAAAGGUGUUGCUUAUUUAUGCUCCAGUGUUUAUAGCCGUCUUAUGUAAAGAUUUCUUCUCUCUCAUACCUUUAUUGCAUAUAAGUUGUUCUUGAUCUUUUAUUGUUUGUUGUUGGUUUUCGAGCUGUGGAAUGUAUUCCAAAUCCUGAUCUAUAGAAUUGCCUUUCUGAACUUGAUGUCUAAGUUCUACUGGACAAUGCUUAUUUGGCUAGAUGCUCAUAGGUUAAGUUAUUUGAUGCAUUGCUUUCACUAUCAAAUUGUUCGCUGCUUUGAGCAUCUGGCUGCAUACUGUAUUGUAUUAUUUUUGGUGCACUGGACCAAGAGAGCGCAGAGGGAGAUCUUCUCUGUCGCGCCGGCGGCAGCAACAGGGAAAAUCCAGUCCACGGUGCCACCAAUGAGAAAGCUGGAUCGGUGGGUGGCGACACGUUCGCUGUUUGGUCGAGUCGUCCACGGUGUUGUUGCUGCCGUCCAGGAUGAGCUGCUCAGCCUGCUACUCCACGAGACUCCCUAGCAACAGCUGAAGAGAGGUUCCAUGGGAACAAGCACCCAUGGUUGUUGUCGCCAUUAGCAUCGUCCCUUAACUGCGACCCUUUAGACCCUUUGCUGAUCCAGCUCCCAGAAGGGGAAGGGAAGUGGUUUCUCUCUGUCGAGGACGGCAAACAGAGAUAGAGGAGGCAGAUGUGAUAUGCUUGGCAUUAUGUUGUGAGGAUAGAGGGCCAUGGAUCUGGAUGUGGAGAUUGUGAAAGUCCAUGUGACGUUCGUGUCAAGAUGAGCGGCCGUUCCUGCUGACAUUGUGUCAACUAGAUGUGCUGAGCUUUGGUUCACCAUGGAGUGCGCUGGCGAGCAGGCAGCUCCCCUCUGCAACGUUUCGUCAUCAGGGAGGACGUUGUCUAGCAUCGUCAUCCUCGGGCAGGAGAGGCACAACCUCCGCCACACCAAAGAGAAGGACGAUGGCUUCCAUGAAGAGAUUUGUCGAAGUGACUACUGAUGACCUACAGGCUACAGCUUCUGGGCGCUCUCGGGUUUGGGGACAUCUAUGGUGAAAUUAGAUGGGUAUGAAGCUUCUGGCAAAUGACAAGUCAUGCGUGCUGCUGCAGUUCAUCGCAGCCUGGCACUAACUCAUAAAGGUCAUCGAGUCGGAAGACAGGAUGAUGCCCAUCGACAACAAGUCCAUUAAGCUCCAUAUCUGGAAAUGGUGAGGUGUUGGCGAUGCUUUGUUUUUGGAAACAAUAGCAAUUAUCACAGCGCCCCUCCUCAUCAGUGGCGGCCGAGGACAGCGACUGCCAGAUCACAGGGGUAGCGGGCCCUGACCGGCCAAGGGGCAUGCCCAGGAAGAGGGAUGCCAGGGCGCCGAGCCAGGUCCAUGGUGACUGCGUCAAGACCGUUCCGCCGAGGGGGAGGCUCCCUAGGGCGGCUAAGGAGAAAGAGAGCAAGUUGGCCAAGGAGCUCAGGGUGAGAUAGCCAUACAUAGUGCUUUCAUCACUGCGUUGCCUUUUUGAUCCGACAAUGCUUGUGAUUCCACUUGAUUUUGCAGAGGGGGCUGGAGUGUACCUUGAACAAGAUGAAUGACUAGGUGCGCAUCUUACUGGCCACUUAUUGUUAUUGGUCCAUAUACUCCCUGCCCCUGCGCUCUGGCUUCUACUCGCAACGUUACACAACUUCUCUUGGAGCAAUGGGGAACUUCAACCAUUCUUGGCGAAGUAAAAUUGAAGACUCUGGUAGAUGUAUUAGUUAGCGUGGACUUUUAUAAUCCUUAAAACUUGUGUGGACUGCUAUCUAAGUGUUGCUAGCCUUCUGUAUAAAUACUUCACUUUCAGUCUUUUGUACUAUCUCACUGCUCUAUGCGCUAUUGGUCUCUUUUGAUAUAAAUGACAUGCUUUAAUUGUUAUUAACGGCUUUUGAUCUGCGGAAUGCAUAACUUUCUAUGUAAAUGACCUGUUGUAAUCCUG